AAAGAAUGGAACUUGGAGCAGGGGUCCUAUAUGCACUUCUGUUGUUCUCGUUAUCUUGUCCCAACACCAGUGCAACUCCUGUCUUAAACAAAACAAUAAAAAAUUGCUAUCGACUGACAGCUGAACUAAACCGCUCUGCUCCUGUUGUACUACAGUUAUAUCUUUCUGCCCAAGGAUAUCCAUUUGAUAAUGCCCUUUCAAAAAAUGAAGCAUGCAAUGUUGAUAUAAACUGUCUUCCCAAAGGACGCCUGGAAAAUAUGGAGGAAAUUGAAAUGUUUAAGAAAAUAUUUAUUGGUGCACAACAGUUUAAACAACACUUGAAUAACACAAUUGUUCAGCAGAAGAAUCUGAACCCUUCAAGAAAAGAACUGCACGAUGAGCUUGAAUAUAUUCAAACACAACUCACGUCACUGGAAACAAACCUCCAGUCAAUCCUACACAUCAAAGGUUCUCACGUUCCCAGACAUUUAGAGUGUUCCGUAGAACAUAGUGAUAACCUGCUUCUACAGAAACGUCAAGGAUGUGCAAUUCUGACAAACUUUAAACGCUAUGUUGCGCAAGUGUUGAAACGUUUUCGUCAUUUAUCAAGGAACUUUUCCCAUUUGUCAAUUGCUAAACCAUAAAACUUCAGAAUACGAAAGUGGUUAUACUAUAGAACAGUCAUAGAGUUUUAAAGGGGAUUUGAGGGGGAAGUGUAUUACACAGAGACUAGUUGCCAAAGAAAGUGGUGGAAUCAGCUACAAGUAUUACAUUUAAGAGCUGUUUAGACAGGGGUGCUGAAGGGCCCGCUUCUGCAUUGUACCCCUCUGUGACUUUAUGAAUCUAAGUUGGCUUACACUGCAAAUUCCUGGACUGUAUGACUAAGGAGCCUGAAGGUAUUUCUCCUACAGAUUUAACCACACUUUUACAGCAUCAGUAUCAAUGGCUGGUUCCAAACCUUUCGAUGUUUCUCCCUGCAUUUGAUCAUUUUGUUCAGGAUGGGAACCUCAUCAGGGGUCACCCACAGAGUCUCUGUCUCUGGUUCACUGAGCCUCACAACCCACGUAGCAUUUAGUUAUUUAAAGUACUAAGGUAAUUUAUUGUAAAACUGAUUGUAAUAAAGAAAUCCUGCAAUGAUGGUGUAAGGGCGAGAACAUAGACCAAAGAAUGGAGGAGUUGCAAAAUGCAGAGCAGGAAGAGGUGCCUGGUAGUUCUGGCUGGACAAGUCCUCCCCUUCCAGAGAAAUGAAGUAAAAAUAAACAAGUUGAGCCAAUAUCACAGAUGCAUGAAUAACACAGACUGAGAAAUCAGGUUAUCUGACAUUGUAGAAUUCAACGUUGAGUCCAGAAAGGUGCAACAUGUCCAGACAGAACGUGAGGUUCUCUUCCCCAAGCUCGUGUUGGGCCUCAUUUUAACAGUGCAGGGGGCCACAGAGCAACAGGUCAGAGUGGGAGUGGGAUGGAGAAUUAAAGUGGCAGACAUCGGAAAGCUCGGGGUUGCCCCAGCAGACUGAACGCAAGUGUUCCGCAAAGUGAUCACCCAAUCUGUGGUUGUUUCCAACAAUACAGCCACCAGUGUAGAGGAGAUGACAUUGUGAGCACUGAAUGUAGUACGUUAGAUUGGAAGAAGCGCAAGUGAAUCACUGCUUCACCUGGGAAGACUGAGAAGACUGUGGUGGGAAGGGAAAAGGUGAAAGGACAACUGUUGCUUACAGUUGCAAGGGAGAUGUAUGGAGUGGUUGGUUGGGGGAAAUGGAAGUGUGGACCAGGGAGUUGCAAAGACAAUGGUCCUUGCAAAAUGCUGAAAGUGGAGGAGAGGGGAAGGUGUGUCUAGUUGUGGAAUCACUUUAAAGGUGGGGGAAAUUGCAGAGAAUGACCUAUUGUUUACGGAGGCUGGUGGGGUGGAAGGUGAGGACAAGGGGUACUCCAUCCUUGCUCUGUCCCAGAGGAGAGGAGGUGAGAGCAGAGAUAGAAGAGAUGUAAUCAAGAGCUUUGCCAACAAUUUCAGAGAUACCUGUACAGAAAAUUCUCAUUGUUGGAGCAAAUACAACGGAGGCAGAGGAACUGGGAGUCUUCACAGGAGGCAGGGUGGGAUGAAGUGUAGUCCAGAUAGCUGUGGGACUCAGUAGGUUUGUAAUGCAUAUCAGCAGCUGGGUCCACCCCCUGUGAUGGACAGCGAGAUAUGCAGAAAAGGAUCAGAGAUUGCGCACAUGUAGGUGACGGCUGGGGAAUAUUUACCAUAACUGAAUAUAUUUCAAUCUUACAGACAGAAGUUAACUUAAUUUAUAUUUUUUGAAUUAAUUUAUUUCAACCAAUAUAAUAAAAAACUUGAACUGAA